rnacentral:rRNA from 1 species
AGGACGAACGCUGGCGGCGUGCCUAACACAUGCAAGUGGAGCGACGAACCAGGCUUCGGCCUGGGGCAGAGCCGCGAACGGGUGAGUAACACAUGGGUACCUACCUUGGAGUGAGGGAUACCGGCGAGAAAUCGCCGACAAUACCGCAUAGGCUUCUUCACAAGGGAAGCAAAGUGACGCGAGUCACGCUUUGAGAUGGGCCUGUGGCCGAUUAGCUAGUUGGUGGGGUAAAGGCCUACCAAGGCGACGACGGGUA